rnacentral:rRNA from 1 species
UACGUAGGUGGCAAGCGUUGUCCGGAUUUACUGGGCGUAAAGAGCGCGCAGGCGGUCGUGCAAGUCGCGUGUGAAAGCCCCCGGCUCAACUGGGGAGGGUCACGCGAUACUGUUCGACUCGAAGGCAGGAGAGGGAAGCGGAAUUCCGGGUGUAGCGGUGGAAUGCGUAGAGAUCCGGAGGAAGACCGGUGGCGAAGGCGGCCUGCUGGGCGAGAUACUGACACUGAGGCGCGACAGCGUGGGGGAGCAAACAGG